rnacentral:rRNA from 1 species
AACGAACGCUGGCGGCAUGCCUAACACAUGCCAGUCGAACGAGACCUUCGGGUCUAGUGGCGCACGGGUGCGUAACGCGUGGGAACCUGCCCUUAGGUUCGGAAUAACUCCCCGAAAGGGGUGCUAAUACCGGAUAAUGUCUUCGGACCAAAGGUUUAUCGCCUUUGGAUGGGCCCGCGUUGGAUUAGCUAGUUGGUAGGGUAAAAGCCUACCAAGGCGACGAUCCAUAGCUGGUCUGAGAGGAUGAUCAGCCACACUGAGACUGAGACACGGCCCAGACUCCUACGGGAGGCAGCAGUGGGGAAUAUUGGACAAUGGGCGAAAGCCUGAUCCAGCAAUGCCGCGUGAGUGAUGAAGGCCUUAGGGUUGUAAAGCUCUUUUACCCGGGAUGAUAAUGACAGUACCGGGAGAAUAAGCUCCGGCUAACUCCGUG